rnacentral:rRNA from 1 species
GAUGAACGCUAGCGGCGUGCCUAAUACAUGCAAGUCGAGCGAACAGACGAGGAGCUUGCUCCUCUGACGUUAGCGGCGGACGGGUGAGUAACACGUGGAUAACCUACCUAUAAGACUGGGAUAACUUCGGGAAACCGGAGCUAGUACCGGAUAAUAUGUUGAAUCGCAUGGUUCAACAGUGAAAGACGGUCUUGCUGUCACUUAUAGAUGGAUCCGCGCCGCAUUAGCUAGUUGGUAAGGUAACGGCUUACCGAGGCAACGAUGCGUAGCCGACCUGAGAGGGUGAUCGGCCACACUGGAACUGAGACACGGUCCAGACUCCUACGGGAGGCAGCAGUAGGGAAUCUUCCGCAAUGGGCGAAAGCCUGACGGAGCAACGCCGCGUGAGUGAAGAAGGUCUUCGGAUCGUAAAACUCUGUUAUUAGGGAAGAACAAAUGUGUAAGUAACUAUGCACGUCUUGACGGUACCUAAUCAGAAAGCCACGGCUAACUACG